GGCCUUAUUCCUCCUACAUCUCCAAUGGCCAAGGCUUCCUUACUGGCAUGGGUUCCUUCCCCAGCUUCCUCUUCUCGAUGGCCAUGAAGGCUCCUCAGCCUUCCUGCAAAUAGAUCUGAUAAACACAUCUUCUCAGGUCAUCCUUUCCAUCAUUGAUAAAAAUGUCCAACUAGACAGAGAACUCUGACUUUGCUAACAGCCUAAGCUGUUCCAUUUAUUAACAUUCUUUGGAUAAAUUGAUGGAUCAGCCCUGAGUCUAAGCUCCAGCCCACAUUCCUCAUUAAUUUGCAUGCUUUAGAUGAUUUUUUUGACUUUCAACCCCAGGAGUUAGGUAAUCUUCUUAUCUCCAUU
rnacentral:lncRNA from 1 species